ACCGGACAGCGGCUCUGCCUCCCGCCCGCGAGUGGCGCGGCGGUGAGUCUCAAGUGCGGGGCUCGCUCUGCAAAGUCGCCUUUCCUGCAGGAGUUAUUGCUAAGAAAAAUAUUGGGGGAAAGCAUUCCCACUAAAAAUCCAAGGAGCCACAAUGCUAGAUUAUAACAGAAAAUGUCUCUCGGUGUCCACUUUAAAAGUUAACCCCACGCACCCAAAGUCACAGUAAUGACCAAAUCCUGCUCAUGUGACUUAUAGAAGUAAUCCCAUUUGCUUCAGGGAGACCACCUACUUGACUAAGUUUCUUCUGGAGUUGCAAGGAACUCUAUUUAAAAUGCUGCCUGAGUAGUCCUGAUAUUGGGGUGUGUCUGAGAAGCCACAUAUUGCCUAUGUUACUGCAUGGGCACACAGAUCUGGUCACUGACCCUCUGCUGAUGUCUUAUGAUCAGGUAGGACAUUGAAAUUGAGGCAUCAGAAGUAUCAUCACGUUGUACAGUUGACCUUAGUUCCUUUGCUUAUUUCAGUCCUAUUAAGCUAAAAUGCCUUGCAUUUUGGUCUUGUUAAAAGCCAAAUCUCCUGAUCUGAAGUUUUUGGAUGAAACACGCAUCUACAGUAUAAUGUGAAUCAAUAAUACUUCAAUUAUCCAGUCUCUGACUGUCUAGUCAUGGACUGGGUGAUGGUCACAUGGUCAUCCAUGAUUAAUCUGGCUGCACCAGAUCAGUAAUAACCCCGAAGAGCUCUUAGAUGCUUGAAAUAAAGCCAAGCAGUGUAGUCAUGGACACUCAGCUCUCUAAGCAUGUUGUUGUUGUUGUUGUUGUUAUCCAAAUCAGAUUGUGAAAAUAAGUUAUUUCCUCCAUAUGUUGUGUUUCACAU